rnacentral:rRNA from 1 species
UACGGAGGGUGCAAGCGUUAUCCGGAAUUACUGGGUUUAAAGGGUGCGUAGGCGGCAUAGUCAGUCAGGGGUGAAGGCCUGCAGCUUAACUGCAGAACUGCCUUUGAUACUGCUGUGCUUGAAAGGGGUUGAGGUCAGCGGAACGUGACAUGUAGCGGUGAAAUGCAUAGAUAUGUCACAGAACACCAAUUGCGAAGGCAGCUGGCUGGACCUACUUUGACGCUGAGGCAAGAAAGCGUUGGGAGCGAACAGG